UUGACCUCGGAUCAGGUAGGAAUACCCGCUGAACUUAAGCAUAUCAAAAGGCCGGAGGAA
rnacentral:rRNA from 4 species